rnacentral:lncRNA from 1 species
GCUAGUAUAAAAGAGUUCUAAAAUUUCAAAAGUAAAUCAACCCAACAACUAAUGAAUAGAAAGGAAGUUUGAAAAACACCUAAAACUUGCCAUACUACUAAUAAUAACUACUCUCAAAACACUAAAGUACAUUCAUACGUAGCACAAAAGUCUCAUGGUCAUUAUGUACUAUUGAAAUGAUUAUAGCCUCUCUUUCUGUUUUUUUUUCUUUUAUUUGUAAUUGCAAUUUUAUUAAUUAUAUAUACAAAUGUUGUCUUCACAAUUGCCAAUGUGAAAGCAAAAGACAACCAAAGAUGCUACUACUAUUCUAUUACAGCCGCACGUGCGCAGUCACGGACCUUAGCUAGUCUCCUUUGACACUUGCGGCCGAAAAUUGAUUCACGAGGCUUCACUUGGUUUAAAAAGGUUUGUGCAGGUGCAUGAACAUAUCCUGCAGCGGCGACAUCUGAUAACUGCUCUGGAACUGUGAACCUAACAAGCUAUUAUCCACUGUUGUGGCACCGGUAGUGGCAUCCAUGUAAUUAAACGGAAGAUCAAGGGUAGAUUUCUCCCAGUUAGUCAGCUUCGGCUCGCUCUGCACUUCCCUCUCGCACGUGAACUCCGGCGAGAGCACGUGCUCCGAGCAGCUCGAAUCGGAGUGGAUCUUCGGAACUGAAUCCGACGGGUCCAGGUAGAAGAAGUCGCUGUGUACUUGCUGCGGCGGCGGCGGAAGCGGUGGUAGAAUCUCCGGCUUCCGAUCCUCUGGAGAUUCUACCAUAUCCAUAUAGCUUGUGUUCAUUUUCCGGUUACUGAGUUGAUUCUUUUCAAUCGAACCCUUUUUGUUGUAUAUUCGGCAUAAAACCCAAUCAUCCAGCUGUAAACAAAUAGAAACCGUCAGAUCAAUCGAAAUUCAAUCUAGACCGUCAAAAAAAAUCGAUCAAUCCUAAUUCUGUUCUGUGCUCACCCUUAAGCUAUUGUUAUUCUUACGAGCAGAUCGAUCAACAUCAGCAAGUCUAUAUUCAUGCAUGAUCCAAUUAGUCUUCUCUCCUUUAGGAGCCUUGCCGGCGUAAAACACCAAUGCUUUCUUAAUUCCCAUUGGCUUCGGAUGUCCAAUCGGCUUAUCGGCACCAGUCGCUUUCCAAUAACCAGUUCCAGCAGCUCGAUUUGGGCGUGAACCGUUCGGAUACUUUCGGUCUCGAGGUGAAAAGAAGUACCAUUCUUUCUCCCCAUACAAUGCCAAAUCUGAAACAGAAAUACCAAAAUUUUGGUUAAUUCAAAAAUUCACCUUCAAAAUUUUCAACUGUUCUAUAUUAACAAAGGUGAAGGAGAACAUUACUUACGAGGAAGAUCCCAAGGGUCAUACUUGUAGAGGUCAAUUUCAGCAAUAAUUGGUACGGCAAUUGGCUGGGAGGCGCAUUUUCGGCAUAGAUAAUGCAUCACAAGCUCUUCAUCAGUUGGGUGAAAUCUGAAACCUGGAGGU